CUUCCCUUUAAUUUUAAAAAUAAAUCAGCUACAUGAAAAAAAGAGAUGGUAGGUGCACAUAUAGUAAAAGAUAAUAGCAUCAAUGUGAAACAAGUUUUGAAUUCCCUAUCGUUAAUAUUUACUAGAAUUGCACAUUAUCCAAAAAUAUGCUGUAAUCGAAUUGAAAUUUAUAAUUCAUAUUUUCAUUACCUCGAGUCAUCAAGUUCAUCAAGAUUCUCUGCAAAAAUGGGUUCCUUUUUGUAGUUCUCCAAGAAAGCUUCCCUCUUCCUUAGCUUGUCAUAGAGUUUGCAGUUUUUCUCAAAAACCUAGAAAAAGGGGAUAUUGAGAGAACACCAGAAAGGCAUUAGAAUCAUGAGCUGUCCAUAUAAUUCCAGCUGUAGUCAUUUAUCAAAGUGUGCUUUGUUUACCUGGAUGCUAGCAGGUCCCCAAGGGUGGAUACCAUUACAUUUUUGGGCUGCAAGAAAUUUGAUAGAACAGGGAUUUAAGCAUCACCCAAAGCAACUAGGAAUCAUUAAACAUGUCUAUGUUUUUUUCACUGUGAAGAUGUUACCUGGAGUAAUCUGCGCAUCACGUCAAGAACUGUUGUUUUUCUGAUGCUGGCAACCUAUUGAAAAAUUAAAAAGGAUUCAUAUACUUUAAGUCUAAUAAAGAAAAUCUGGAUUUUAUCAUUAUAUACUGUCACUAACAUGCAUAUUUAUUACAGCAGAUUCUGUACACUGUAUGACUUGAUAUAGCAUGGCACAAGGCAAUGUAUAUUAUAAUAGAAUAGAACUGAUUUGAUGAAGUCUUUUACUAACCUUC